rnacentral:lncRNA from 1 species
CAUUAUGACAAAAAUAAUUGGCAAAGAAGUAAACAGGUCAGCAUCUUGACAACUUAUUUAGUUUUAAGAUAUGUAACGGCAAGUUCGUUAUGGAAGUAAAACAAGGAAGCUUCCAAGCUCAAUGGUUCUCCAAGCUCAAUUCAGCAUUCUCCAUGUGAAGCUUGAUGGGGAAGAGCUUCCAGAGCAAUUUGGUAAUACCUUAGUAACCAGCCCUUUAUUUAUUGAAAUCAUGUAUGAGUGCAUCCCUGACCACCAGGGAGUGCAGCGUGUCAGGAUGUCUAGCUCAAAAAAAAAAAAAAACUCAGAAUUAUGGG